rnacentral:sRNA from 1 species
CUGCCCGCCCCACCUGACUGCUUCCCAGAUAAGGUGUGGUCGCAGCUCACACACACCUGCCCCGGGGGUGGGGCAAGCUGGUUCUCCUCCCCUCCCCAACUCAGCCUUCUUCCCUCCGCACAGGUGAAGGCCUUUGGGCCUGGCCUGGAGCCUACCGGCUGCAUCGUGGACAAGCCCGCUGAGUUCACCAUUGAUGCUCGUGCAGCUGGCAAGGGAGACCUGAAGCUCUAUGCCCAGGACGCCGACGGCUGUCCCAUCGACAUCAAGGUGAUCCCCAACGGCGACGGCACCUUCCGCUGCUCCUACGUGCCCACCAAGCCCAUUAAGCACACCAUCAUCAUCUCCUGGGGAGGCGUAAACGUGCCCAAGAGCCCCUUCCGGGUGAACGUGGGCGAGGGCAGCCACCCCGAGCGGGUAAAGGUGUACGGCCCUGGAGUGGAGAAGACGGGCCUCAAGGCCAACGAGCCCACCUACUUCACGGUGGACUGCAGUGAGGCGGGGCAAGGCGACGUGAGCAUUGGCAUCAAGUGCGCCCCAGGCGUGGUGGGCCCUGCAGAGGCUGACAUCGAC